UCCUUGUUAGUUCAGUUGGUAAGGAGUCUGCCUGCAAGGUAGGAUACCCUGGUUCAAUUCCUGGAUCAGGAA
rnacentral:tRNA from 1 species